rnacentral:lncRNA from 1 species
CCUCCACAAACAACCAAGUCAAACAUAACCGGUACUGUAGCUGCUGGUGGCCAAUCUAGCAUUGGAGUAGGUAGAUUUGAAGUAGCUAGAUGUUGGCGCCAAAUUGGAUGAGAGUGAACCUGCAAAUCAAGUUCCUCAUCGGAGUUGUUUCUAAUGGGAACUCUCUAACACUCAAGUCAGUCAUUGGAGAAUAGUGGAAAGAAGGGA